rnacentral:lncRNA from 1 species
GAAGAUUCCCCGCCCCCACUUCUAGGCUUGGUUGAACCGUGCAGAUACCUUCUCGAAACAAAAGAUUUUCCUACCUGCUUAUACUUGGUAACCGAGGGAAUUUCUAAGACUUCUUGCUCAUUUCUGAGUAUUGUCUUUAUAUCCUGACACUAUGAAUGCUACUUGGAUGCCUCUUAAGGGUCUCUUCUGCAGGGUCCCCAUGAAUUGUGGCUGAAGUUGUGCACAAACAAGUAUCUCCAGUGACAGGAGUGCCUUCUGAGGCAGCCAUUGCAUCUUCAUCUGCUGACACUCUGCUAGGCUGACUUCUGUAGUUUUCACCACUGAUCUUCAGUCCACCUCACAGAGCUCUAUAAAACGCUUAAAUCCUCUUUACAUCAUAGACUUUCAGCUACUUGAAGAUAGCCAUCAGCCGCUACGUGACUCUUUUCUCCAGUUUGCCCCGGUCUCAGAGUGUGGGAUCCAGCACUGCCCAUAUAACGUUCCCAGGAUGUUCUGACUGAUGUAGAGUUCUCACUCUGUCACCUAAGCUGGAGUGCAGUGGCACCAUCUCAGCUCACUGCAACUGCUGCCUCCCGGGUUCAAGCAAUUCUUUUACCUCAGCCCCCCCAGUAGCUGGGAUCACAGGUUGAAGAUUAUUCUCUCUUCUAAAGAAAAUAGAAGAAUAUUAGGAGAAAAGACACUUGAAAAUGUUCACUCUUUUAUUCACAUUACAUCAUCUGUCUUGAAUAAUGGGUCUAUCUCUUUCCUGUUGCUCUGGCCCUGAAAAAAAAAUUAGCUUUUUAAGGCUGCUUUUGUUACGUGUGCAUUUUCUUGUAAUCCCGUCAUUCUGGGAUUUAAUAAUAAUAGUAUUAAUACCACCUACCAUUUGUUGGUUACUUACUGUGUUUUAGGCACUGUGCUAAACGCCUUCCAUGUAUUCAUCUCAUUAGUAAACAUUUCUGAAACUAUUCUUACA